AACGGCUGGCGGCGUGCCUAAUACAUGCAAGUCGAACGGUCUUUCUAUGGAAGCUUGCUCCACUGAGAAGAUAGUGGCGAACGGGUGAGUAACACGUGGGAACCUGCCCAUAAGAGGGGGAUAACAUCCGGAAACGGGUGCUAAUACCGCAUAGUUUUCUUGAUCGCAUGAUCGGGAAAGGAAAGACGGCCUUUGUGCUGUCGCUUAUGGAUGGACCCGCGGCGUAUUAGUUAGUUGGUGAGGUAAUGGCUCACCAAGACGAUGAUACGUAGCCGACCUGAGAGGGUGAUCGGCCACAUUGGGACUGAGACACGGCCCAAACUCCUACGGGAGGCAGCAGUAGGGAAUCUUCCGCAAUGGACGAAAGUCUGACGGAGCAACGCCGCGUGAGUGAAGAAAGGUUUUCGGAUCGUAAAACUCUGUUGUCAGAGAAGAACAAGUUGGAGAGUAACUGCUCCAGCCUUGACGGUAUCUGACCAGAAAGCCACGGCUAACUACGUGCCAGCCGCCGC
rnacentral:rRNA from 1 species